CAGGGUCAGCCCAGGCUACAUAGUGAAUUCCAGCUGCUGUGGCUGAAGGCUACCGUAUUAGACAGCUCAAGCGUGGACCCUCGGCCACCCAAGGUCCAUCCCUGAGGAGCUCAAAGCCCUGCAGGGCACAGGGGCAGGUCUCAGCUCAGCCAUGGCCUCCUCCAGGAAGCCCUGCCAGCCUACCAGGCCCAGUAGGCAAACACUGGGCAGCUCCUGGCCGCUGCGAUGACCCCUCUGCCUCAGGAUCCUGAGCCCCCUAAGGACCGAGAGCCAGCAGGAGGGCUGUGCCAUGCGAACGGGCAUGGGGAACGUAUGCUAGAAUGGGUGAUUGGAUGCUUUUGAAAAAACUAAGAAGCCAGGUGUAGCGGUGCAGCCUGUAAUCCCAGCACUCUGGGAGGCUGAGG